rnacentral:rRNA from 1 species
UACGUAGGGUGCAAGCGUUGUCCGGAAUUAUUGGGCGUAAAGAGCUCGUAGGCGGUUUGUCGCGUCUGCUGUGAAAUCUUAGGGCUUAACCCUGAGCUUGCAGUGGGUACGGGCAGACUAGAGUGCGGUAGGGGAGACUGGAAUUCCUGGUGUAGCGGUGAAAUGCGCAGAUAUCAGGAGGAACACCGGUGGCGAAGGCGGGUCUCUGGGCAGUAACUGACGCUGAGGAGCGAAAGCGUGGGGAGCGAACAGG